rnacentral:rRNA from 1 species
UACGUAGGCAGCAAGCGUUGUUCGGAAUUACUGGGCGUAAAGAGUGUGUAGGUGGUGAUCUAAGUCUGUCGUGAAAUCUCCCGGCUUAACUGGGAGGGUGCGGCGGAAACUGGAUUGCUAGAGUAUGGGAGAGGUAAGCGGAAUUCCUGGUGUAGCGGUGAAAUGCGUAGAUAUCAGGAGGAACACCUGUGGUGUAGACAGCUUACUGGACCAUUACUGACACUGAGACACGAAAGCGUGGGUAGCAAACAGG